rnacentral:rRNA from 1 species
CUGGCUACAGGCUUAACACAUGCAAUCGUGGGGAAACGGCAUUAUAUGCUUGCACAUUUGGACGUCGACCGGCGACGGGUGAGUAUCGGUAUCCAACCUGCCCCUUACUUGGGGAUACCCCGUCGAAAGACGGCCUAAUACCCGAUGUGUUUCAUUGACGGCAUCCGAUUGAACAAAGGUUUCCGGUAAGGGAUGGGGAUGCGUCUGAUUAGCUUGUUGGCGGGGCAACGGCCCACCAAGGCGACGAUCAUGGGGUUUGGAGGAAGUCCCCCAAUUGGAACUGGAACGGUCCAAACUCCUACGGGAGGCAGCAGUGAGGAAUAUUGGUCAAUGGACGCAAGUUGAACCAGCCAAGUAGCGUGCAGGAUGACGGCCCUUGGGUUGUAAACUGCUUU